UACGAAGGGGGCGAGCGUUGUUCGGAUUUACUGGGCGUAAAGGGCGCGCAGGCGGUCUUGAAAGUCAGGCGUGAAAGCCCCGGGCUUAACCUGGGAAUUGCGCUUGAUACUCUGAGACUGGAGUACGGGAGAGGAGAGUGGAAUUCCCAGUGUAGAGGUGAAAUUCGUAGAUAUUGGGAAGAACACCAGUGGCGAAGGCGGCUCUCUGGACCGUAACUGACGCUGAGGCGCGAAAGCGUGGGGAGCAAAC
rnacentral:rRNA from 1 species